rnacentral:rRNA from 1 species
AAUCAACGCUGGCGGCGUGCCUAACACAUGCAAGUCGAACGCGAAAGCCCCGCAAGGGGUAAGUCGAGUGGCAAACGGGUGAGUAACACGUGGGUGACCUGCCUUCGAGUGGGGGAUAACGUCCCGAAAGGGACGCUAAUACCGCAUGACAUCCUGCUUUUGAAAAAGCGGAGAUCAAAGCUGGGGAUCGCAAGACCUAGCGCUUGAAGAGGGGCCCGCGCCUGAUUAGCUAGUUGGUGAGGUAACGGCUCACCAAGGCGACGAUCAGUAUCCGGCCUGAGAGGGCGGACGGACACACUGGGACUGAGACACGGCCCAGACUCCUACGGGAGGCAGCAGUGGGGAAUUGUUCGCAAUGGGCGCAAGCCUGACGACGCAACGCCGCGUGGAGGACGAAGAUCUUCGGGUCGUAAACUCCUGUCGAGCGGGACGAACGCUUCGCGGAUGAAUAAUCCGCGGAAUUGACGGUACCGCUAAAGGAAGCCCCGGCUAACUCCGUG